CUUUCAGAAGAGGCGGAGCCUAUCUCUCAUCAGGACCAGUCUGACUGCACCUGCAUCCUUAGCUCAGAGCAUCCCUGGAGCAUCUAAGAGGAAAGCGCAGCUAGCAACCAGGGAUCGUACUGCAGGGGCAAUCGGUCAUGCACCUUCCCCUCCCCUGAUCUGGAGGUCUACAGCCGCGGCCUCGGUACUGACCGAGAUUCCCAAAGUUGUCUGACCUCUGCAAAAGUGUUUCUAUCAACAGCCUCUGAUUACAACAUGGCUGAGAUCACAAAUAUACGCCCCAGCUUUGGGGUGUGCUGGAGAGCUUCGCGUACCUACAAGGAAUACUUGCACUGGUCAGCAUCCUUCUGUGGGCCUGCAAUCCUAACCGACAAGGGCACAGAAGGCAGCUGUGCUCACACGGCUCUGAGAGCUCCCUUCACAGGCACUCCUCUGACCCAAGGAGUAACAACACACAGAACAAGCAGCAAGGCACAACUCCUUUCCUCGGAGGGGCAACUGGACAGCCUUUAACCCUUUAAAAACCAGGGACUGAUUUUCACGGGUUCUGACUUCAGCACUGCAUCAUCCAGGCAGUCAGUGAGGCGACUCAACAGGUAUAGACACCUGCUGUCCAGUCUGACCACAGAGCUCAGCUCCUGGGACCCACAUGAUGGAAGGAAAUAGCCACGUGUCCUGGUCCUCUGACCUCUGCAUAUGUCAUCGCAAGGACUCACCUACAAAUUAAUGAAUGGCAUAAAACAUUUAAAAAAAAAUUAAGUGUGCUCAAGUAAUUCAAAUUAACACUUCAAUGAGUUCAAUUCAAAGAACAUGUCCCCUAUACACAGCAAUUCACACAGAGGUCAAAACUAUGUUCCACAGAUACUCAAAAGUCAAGUAAGGGUUUAUGGCUAUAAUGUAAUAGAGUAAGCAUUGUACCAAGUCCCCAUUCUACUUGGAGCCGCGCUGGCCCUUACCUGGAGCUCUGGGACAGAGAGCACAGACUCCUCAGAAGCUGAUGACAGUUCAUCUUCUUCAUCUUGGGUGAGGUCAUCAAAGUCCUCCUCCUCCUCUUCCUCAGGCCCGUCCUUCUCCCCUCCAGUGUCUGGUCCUGCUGGGGUUCCCACAGACUGGCCGUCAGCAUUGGCCGAGUCCUCAAGCUUCCCUGGAGGACCGCUCAGCCCCCCGCCCUGGCCCAUGGAGGACAGAGUGCUUUUUGGCAGUCCUCUGCUUGCAUGACUACUUGUUCGUCCCUCAGCAGCAGCGUCUUGGGGCACAGAAGGGGAUUUGGCGGCCUGCGUGUCUUCCCUCUGCAGGACUGUCUGUUUGCUCAUCUCACUGGCACUACUCGGCUUCUCCUGUGGGGACUCACUGUCUAAUUCCAUAGAGCGUUCCUCUUUCACUUCCUCCCCAAUGUCCUGCUUGGGAAGGUUGCUGGAGAUUUCCACCAUGCAAUCUUCAGCUUCCAUCUUGACCAUAUUUAAUAAAUCCUUCGAUGGAGA
rnacentral:lncRNA from 1 species